CCUAACACAUGCAAGUCGAACGGUAACAGGAAGAAGCUUCGCUUCUUUCGCUGACGAGUGGCGGACGGGUGAGUAAUGUCUGGGAAACUGCCUGAUGGAGGGGGAUAACUACUGGAAACGGUAGCUAAUACCGCAUAACGUCGCAAGACCAAAGAGGGGGACCUUCGGGCCUCUUGCCAUCAGAUGUGCCCAGAUGGGAUUAGCUAGUAGGUGGGGUAACGGCUCACCUAGGCGACGAUCCCUAGCUGGUCUGAGAGGAUGACCAGCCACACUGGAACUGAGACACGGUCCAGACUCCUACGGGAGGCAGCAGUGGGGAAUAUUGCACAAUGGGCGCAAGCCUGAUGCAGCCAUGCCGCGUGUAUGAAGAAGGCCUUCGGGUUGU
rnacentral:rRNA from 1 species